rnacentral:sRNA from 1 species
CUUGGUCAUUUAGAGGAAGUAAAAGUCGUAACAAGGUUUCCGUAGGUGAACCUGCGGAAGGAUCAUUACUAGAGCAAAGGAUAGACAGCGCCCGCGGAGCCCUGCUCCCUGGGGCUACCCUACUUCGGUAAGGUUUAGAGUCGUCGGGCCUCUCGAAGAAGCUCGGUCCUGAACUCCACCCUUGAAUAAAUUACCUUUGUUGCUUUGGCGGGCCGCCUCGUGCCAGCGGCUUCGGCUGUUGCGUGCCCGCCAGAGGACCACAACUCUUGUUUUUAGUGAUGUCUGAGUACUAUAUAAUAGUUAAAACUUUCAACAACGGAUCUCUUGGUUCUGGCAUCGAUGAAGAACGCAGCGAAAUGCGAUAAGUAAUGUGAAUUGCAGAAUUCAGUGAAUCAUCGAAUCUUUGAACGCACAUUGCGCCCUCUGGUAUUCCGGGGGGCAUGCCUGUUCGAGCGUCAUUAUAACCACUCAAGCUCUCGCUUGGUAUUGGGGUUCGCGGUCUCGCGGCCCCUAAAAUCAGUGGCGGUGCCUGUCGGCUCUACGCGUAGUAAUACUCCUCGCGAUUGAGUCCGGUAGGUUUACUUGCCAGCAACCCCUAAUUUUUACAGGUUGACCUCGGAUCAGGUAGGGAUACCCGCUGAACUUAAGCAUAUCAAUAAGCGGAGGAAAAGAAACCAACAGGGACUACCUCAGUAACGGCGAGUGAAGCGGUAACAGCUCAAAUUUGAAAGCUGGCUCUUUUAGGGUCCGCGUUGUAAUUUGUAGAAGAUGCUUCGGGUGUAGCUCCGGUCUAAGUUCCUUGGAACAGGACGUCAUAGAGGGUGAGAAUCCCGUAUGUGACUGGGUGCUUUCGCUCAUGUGAAGUUCUUUCGACGAGUCGAGUUGUUUGGGAAU